UACGGAGGGAGCUAGCGUUGUUCGGAAAUACUGGGCGUAAAGCGCACGUAGGCGGCGCAGCAAGUCAGGGGGUGAAAUCCCGGGGCUCAACCCCGGAACUGCCUUUGAUACUGGCAUUCUCGAGUCCGGAAGAGGUGAGUGGAAUUCCGAGUGUAGAGGUGAAAUUCGUAGAUAUUCGGAGGAACACCAGUGGCGAAGGCGGCUCACUGGUCCGGAACUGACGCUGAGGUGCGAAAGCGUGGGGAGCAAACAGG
rnacentral:rRNA from 1 species